GCCGAGGUGGCGGAAUUGGCAGACGCGCUAGAUUCAGGAUCUAGUGGGCAUUUACGCCCGUGCGGGUUCGACUCCCGCCCUCGGCACCA
rnacentral:tRNA from 1 species